GGAUUCCCCUAGUAACGGCGAGUGAAGCGGGAAGAGCUCAAAUUUGAAAUCUAGUAGCCUUCGGCUGCUCGAGUUGUAAUCUAGAGAAGUGUUUUCCGUGCCGGCCCAUGUACAAGUCCCUUGGAACAGGGCGUCAUAGAGGGUGAGAAUCCCGUCCUUGACAUGGACCCCCGGUGCUCUGUGAUACACUUUCAACGAGUCGAGUUGUUUGGGAAUGCAGCUCAAAAUGGGUGGUGAAUUCCAUCUAAAGCUAAAUAUUGGCGAGAGACCGAUAGCGAACAAGUACCGUGAGGGAAAGAUGAAAAGCACUUUGGAAAGAGAGUUAAACAGUACGUGAAAUUGUUGAAAGGGAAACGAUUGAAGUCAGUCAUGCUCUUUGGUAUUUAUAUCAUUGAGUGGGGUCAACAUCAGUUUUGAGCGAUGGAUAAAGGCACUAGGAAGGUAGCACUCUCGGGUGAACUUAUAGCCUAGCGUCAUAUACAUUGUUUGGGACUGAGGAACGCAGCAUGCCUUUAUGGCCGGGAUUCGUCCACGUACAUGCUUAGGAUGUUGACAUAAUGGCUUUAAACGACCCG
rnacentral:rRNA from 1 species